GAGAUUGUUUAAAUUGGGGAGUCUUACGUAACUAAUUAGGAAGCACAUUAUUAAAUAGAGUAAAGAAAAGGAUUUGAGCACAAACACACACACAAGGGAACAAUAAAUCUGGAGGAGCUAACCGAAGCACCCCAAGAAAAAGAAAAUCUGCCGUUUCCUAAUAAAAGGGAACGGAUUCUGGGCUUCUCUUGAUCAUUUUCAAGAGCUAGCUUUAUCUUCUAAAAGAACAAAAAAAAAAAAAAAAAAAAGGGCAGCCAUUUUUGAACCUUAGAGUCCUAACGCUAAAGACCAAAAAAGAGGUUUAAGCACAAAAGGACCGGCCAGCUGCUGCUCUCUUCGUCUUCCUCCUCCAGCAGCUCGCCGGAAAAACGAGCUCUGGCCGAGCAACAACGAACCAGAACCCACCUCCAAAUCACCCCAAUUUUAGCAACAAAACCUCACGUUUUGUACCUCAAAACAACCUGAAGUAGCUGCUGAAAAACGCUGCUCAACUCUACCUAUAUUUCCAGCAAGAACAGUCCAAAAACGAGUUCAAAUCCAUCCAUGAACGACCUCGAUACAGCUCCAAAUACGAGCUAGAAAUUCAUGCCAAAAACCAGCUCCAAGACAGCAAAAAGAAUGCUGCUAAGAACGGACCCAAAGCAGCUCCAAAAACGGUCAAUAUUAAGUGAGGUUUCCGUUUAAACUUCGGCGAGGUGUUCCGGCAAAGUUUCGAGUUCCGGUCAGUGGUCAAAUUUCUGUGUUUGUUCGAUUCGGGAAGUACAGAUGUAAUAUUUAAAGCAACGUUUCUCAAGUAUGAAAGGUUCAUUUUCUCAUUCACUUCUUUUAUUAGUUAUGUGUGAUUAAUUCUUGUUUUAAGAGUAAUGUUAGCUUCCUGUCCUGUUAUUUUAUUUGUUUAGUUAUAUGAUACACUACAGUUUUGUGAGGUACGAAAGACUGGAUCAGUUGCUCCAAAAUUAGUACUUUUUUGAAUGGCUAACACCCUUAAACAGCGUUAUUAAAAAUCGAAGCCAAUAUGACUCAAAGCAAAGGAUUUGGCUGUUGUAGUAUUAUAUUAACAUAUGUUUGAUAAUUUUUUGAUUUGCCAUUAUGAGAUCUGUCCUUUAAAUAACUGUCUUUAGAAGCAUAUAUGAAUUUGUCAGUGAUGUUUAAUUUGAUUAAUCUUUAGUCAUUUGCUUCAGUGUUAAAGUAGUACCCGUGACGAAUUAAUUAAUUGCUUUAGAAGUGGAAUUUAGCAGUUGUCCUUUUUAAGGGUUCAUUUCAUAAUAGGUUGUAAUUUACGUAGUUUCUAUUUGGAAUUAAAUUGCUUUCCCCGUGGGCAUUGAAAUUGACACAAUAGCUAAUUUGUAAUUUGUGAUUUCAAAGUAGUUUAGAAAAAAUACAUAAUUUUUGAACAUCGUAGCUUACUUUAGGCGCGAUUAAUAAAUUAUCGUAGUCAUGGGUACGGUUCCUGUAGCAUGGUCACGAUAAUUAAUCCCCAAUUCGGGUGCGCAUUUAUGUGACCCAACUCCAAAUCUCAACAACGUUGGAUAAAAUAUGUCGUGGACCGCGGGUGCAUUUAUGUGACGUGGUUCAAGACGUAUUUUAGAUAACGUUGAAAUCUUCCUUAAAAUAAUUAAAAGCGGUUUAAAGUUAAAAUGCACAUAGGUUUGGAGUGUUUUAAAAUCAGAUAAUAGGCCAAAUAUAAUAGUUGAGCGACCGUGCUAGAACCACGGAACUCGGGAAUGCCUAACACCUUCUCCCGGGUUAACAGAAUUCCUUACUUGGAUUUCUGGUUCGCUGACCGUUAAACAGAGUCAAUAUUUUCCUCGAUUCGGGAUUCAACCGGUGACUUGAGACACCAUAAAUCUCCCAAGUGGUGACUCUGAAUUUCUUAAUAUAAAUCCCGUUUCGAUUGUCCUUUAAUUGGAAAAACUCUUUUAUACCACCCUUUCGGGGGUGUAGGUGAAAAAAGGAGGUGUGACAACACUAAGUUGCUCUAUCGUCUCGAAAUUUUUUGUCUGUCGUGCUCAAAGUACCCAAAAAUGUUUGACCAAAUCCGGUACGGAUCCCAUACCCACACCCAUACUAGUAUUGUGUUGACACGGGUGCAGCACCUAAAUUGCCAUGUCGGAGCAACAUAACUUGUACAUCAAGACUUGCAAUCUAGUAGUAUUACUAGAAUUUUUUAACACAAAAUGUGUGCAUUCAACUGUCUCAUUCUCUCAUUCCUAUAUUCUAUUAACUUUAUUCUUGCUGCUUUGGAGGAAGAACUAAGUUCUUGUUUUUUCAUGUGUUUGCUGCAGUGGUAAAUUCUUCUUGUUACGGGAGAUGACUCCAAUUAUUUUCUUAUGCUUGAAAACUUAAGCUAGCUUAGAAAAAUAUGCAUUUGGGAUCUGAAUAUCAUAGAGUGGUUCUACUAGAAAGAAGCUGCUCUUAAUUGCAAGCCAUCCAUAGAAUAUUCAAAUAUAGCAAUAACAUUAAAAGCAAAGCAACUUUCAAGAAAAAAGAUGAAGGUUAUCUCUUGACUAUGAGUAGAAUACAAACUCAGUCGUCGGCCCUUAGCUAAAGAUGGAGCAACUUGAAAUAUGCUGUCCUCCAUGAAUUGUUGAAGAACAAAGAGCCUAAAACUCCCCAAAAUGCAAUAAUAAAAC
rnacentral:lncRNA from 1 species